GGAACCCGAGUCAUGGAAUGGUUGGGGCUGUGCGGGAGCAGCGAACUCCCCUCACGGAACCGGAGUCAUGGAAUGGUUGGGGCUGUGCGGGAGCAGCGAACUCCCCUCACGGAACCCGAGUCAUGGAAUGGUUGGGGCUGUGCGGGAGCGGUGAGCUCCCCUCACGGAACCAGAGCCACGGGAUGGCUGGGGCUGUGCGGGAGUAGGGAGCUCUCCUCACGGAACCGGAGUCACGGAGGGGUUGAGGCUGAAGGAUGGCUGAACAAACCCAAUUCUCUCAGCCUUUCCUCAUGGGAGAGGUGCUCCAUCCCUCUGAUCAUCUUGUUGGUCUCCUCUGGAUUCGCUCCAACAGAUCGAUGUCCUUCCCGUACUGGGGACCCCAGAGCUGGAUGCAGUGUUCCAGGGAUUUCAGUUUGGGUCAGUGGCUCCUAUAGCAUGGAAAAAUACACUCCCUUUAUUUUGCAUUUUGUGACCAUCGGAUUUAGUGAGCUCUGUGUCUCCAGUUCCAAGACUUGUGUCUCUUCAUAACUGGAACUGCUGCACACAGGGAGAAAUGCUGCGGUGACAAACUGUCCCCCUGUGCAGACCUCCUGCUUCAUCUGUCUUCUUGGACCACCCUAUGGCAACCUCUGAACACAGUCUUGCUGCUACUGCAAACCACCUCUGAAACAAAAGAUUUUGCAAGAAUGAACAAA